rnacentral:rRNA from 1 species
UUUUAUAUGAGAGUUUGAUCCUGGCUCAGGAUGAACGCCGGCGGUGUGCCUAAUACAUGCAAGUCGAACGCGUUGGCCCAACUGAUUGGACGUGCUUGCACGGACUUGACGUUGGUUUACCAGCGAGUGGCGGACGGGUGAGUAACACGUAGGUAA